GAUGAACGCUGGCGGCGUGCCUAAUACAUGCAAGUCGAGCGAACAGACGAGGAGCUUGCUCCUCUGACGUUAGCGGCGGACGGGUGAGUAACACGUGGAUAACCUACCUAUAAGAUUGGGAUAACUUCGGGAAACCGGAGCUAAUACCGGAUAAUAUAUUGAACCGCAUGGUUCAAUAGUGAAAGACGGUUUUGCUGUCACUUAUAGAUGGAUCCGCGCCGCAUUAGCUAGUUGGUAAGGUAACAGCUUACCAAGGCAACGAUGCGUAGCCGACCUGAGAGGGUGAUCGGCCACACUGGAACUGAGACACGGUCCAGACUCCUACGGGAGGCAGCAGUAGGGAAUCUUCCGCAAUGGGCGAAAGCCUGACGGAGCAACGCCGCGUGAGUGAUGAAGGUCUUCGGAUCGUAAAACUCUGUUAUUAGGGAAGAACAAAUGUGUAAGUAACUAUGCACGUCUUGACGGUACCUAAUCAGAAAGCCACGGCUAACUACGUG
rnacentral:rRNA from 1 species